rnacentral:sRNA from 1 species
GAGAAGCUGAGCACCCAUGCUGGAACUCACCAUAUAGAUGCCUCACUGCUUUUCAUUUCGAAGUUUCUCCUCCAUGUCUUUUUCCUCUUGCCAGUGUUUAGGUAAAAUUAUUUCUGUUUGAUACAUUUUUCUUCACUCUUGUCCUUAAUGUGUCAAGUCUUAUGUGGCUUCAUAGCCCUGACAGACAGUAGUAUUGCUAUUUUGGAGUCAAGGUCUCGUUCUGUCGGCCAAGCUGGAGUGCAAUGGCACCAUCAGGGCUCACUGCAGCCUUGACCUCCGAGGCUCAAGGAAUCCUCCCACCUCAGCCUCAGCCUCCCGGAUAGUUGAUACUACAGAUGAUCCAGCUCUGUCGGAGGCACGUAGGCACAGCCAAAUCUCAUGCUGUACAUUGAUCACCUGUCCAACCUUUGCCUAGAGUGGGAGCCCCCAGUUCCUUCGAGAUCCAACAUUACCUGUCUGUAAAGAAGAAGAGGAGGAGGGAGACAGCGGGGAGGAUCCGGUGGCAGUUUAACACCAGAGCAGCUAUCAGAAGGGCUGAAUAAAGGGAACAUGCAGCUCUGCAGCAAUAUUCUGAUAAUCUAUUGCAGUGCGGCUCACAUCACUGUCCACCACCACCUGGAGCGGCUCAUCAGAACUGAAGGGGAGUUUUCACUUACAUUAUUGAGCGUGAUUCUGUUCUACUUGAUAUUUCCUUCAUCACCUCAUGUCAUUUCUCAUGGAUUUGGAUAUGAUGGAAAGGAAGAAUGCAGAGGAGGAGAAAAGUGACAGAUCCUCCAUUUUUGUCAGGAUGCAGGCAUUUUGAAUGUAAUCAUCUUUGCUGAAUGUCAUUUUUUGAUAACAUUUUGUUUAUGUUACUUAAACAUCAUUGGAUAAAUUUGAACUCCAUGGGAUUUUAUCUGUGGAUUCAGCUUCUGUUGGACAACUAGCCUCAUCUCCAGUAUCCUGCUGGUUCAGUCUAAUUGGUCAUUCCUAAUGCAUUAGAUUAUCAAAAAGUAUAAAUUCGCUGUGAGUGAGUGGUGUUGGCAGUGUUUGUAUACCGUGAUGCAUGGAGUGUUUGACGAAGAAACAAAAAACACCAAAAAUUGCGAGCCUUUACCCUCCUCUAUUUCUUUAAUCUGUUGUUUGAAGAACCGCAUUUUGAGGGUGUAACCAGUAGUUACCUCUGGGCCAGGUUGGAAAUGAAAUCAAUUUUUUAAACCACUAAUACUUGCCAAGAAAUCGCCUUAUGAGAACAUGGUGUGUGUCUCUGACAAUGCGUGGCACAUCUAAAUUGAUCAUUCAUAAUUUUAUCUACCCGGUCAUGUACUGGAGAGUGGCAAAAGCCUGAGGCACCUGCAUAUCUCUAGUCCCUGUGUUCCGCACAUCCCCACGGCGGGGAUGCCACCAAGCCUCAGACUCUUACCAUCCUGGUACAUGCAGAUCUCCAUGAAGAAGCUGGGACUCAUUCACAUUUCAAGAUCCAAAUGCUGUGCAAACAGUGUAAGCUUAGAUUUUCUGUAAAUGAAGGGUCAUUUCUCUCUCUUUUUUUUUUUUUUUAAAGAAAAUGUGUCUGCAACAUGAAUUCCAAAGCAUUUUCAGCAUCAAACAUGAAAACAUUGAUGAAUGAGGAAAAAUCACAAAAGCUGUGUCUCUGUAUAUAGCUCUACACAACAUGUAUGUGGAUACAGUUAUUAUUUAAAGCACAUGCCAGGGAAAAAGACCAAAUUUUGAGGUCUUUUACAUACAGUGAUAUGGUACUAAGGAGAAUUAAACUCCUACUGCUUCCUCUGAAUAUUAAGAAACAAUUAAAAUUGUUAUAACUUCAUAAAACUCAUGACUGAGUCUGGCAAACAUGUGCAACUCUUGUAUUGCUCCAUUUUCUUGUCAAUGGAAGAAACCCUUCCACGUGUAUGCAAGUGGGAGAUGAAAACCUGCAUUUUUAAAGGACAAACAGUGAAUUUAAGCAUGAGUGGCCUUAAUAAAUAUAGUUGUCUUUCUUUGCUGCUGUGGAAAGGAUUCUAAACAGAUGUCCCUGAAGUCUUGCAUUGAAUUUAGGCAUUAUUAUUACCUUUUUAAAUGUUGGUGCAAUUAACUCUGGACCUCUCUUGUGAGCCAUAGAGAUAUUUAAAAGACAAACACCUUAUUUGUCGGGGAAGAUGAAGCCGUCCCUGAGUUGCACCAUUCUUUCUUGGUGCAUUCACGGUUAAGAUACUCAAGCAGGUUUCUUGCUUCUGGCUUUGUUCUUGUCAUCAGUAAGUAUAACAAACUAUGUAAUGCUUACGUGUUGCAUAAACAAUCCAAAUGCAUUCAUGUUUUAAAAGUUUGUCCUUUAACUAUCAGAGGGAUCUAGGUCUUGGUUAGAGAAGUAAGCAGAGUUCUUUGCAAGCUUAUUUAGCACAUUUUGACACAAUGUUGCACUGAAAACCCAGGCCACAAAUGUGUCCCAGUGAACAGUUUGGAUGUCCUCAAAGAAGUGGUUCUCACUGCCUCCUACAACCAGGUCUUGACCUGAACUCUGCAACUGAAUACUUGAAGUAGGAAGUAGGAAAUCCAGUAGGGAAAAUAGGGUCCUUGAAACAGAAAAAAACAACCAACCCAUGUAUAGCUAGCUAUUUCUAUGUAUGUGCCAAUUUUGUCACAGCUCUUGUUUGGAGGGAUCAUUUUCUGCCCAACUUUCGUUGGUUAAAAGUAUUACUGAUCUUACCUUUAUGAGGGCAUAUCAUUUAGUCCCUUAAAAAUUAAAUUCUCUCUAACAUAACAACCUUUCCCAUUUCAUGUAAUAUUCUCUGAUGUUUGGAGGUUACCAAAAAUAUCCCUUUUUCACAUAUUAAGAAUAGUCUCUGGGUUUACAACAAACACUGUGAUGUUGGGAAGCUAUUUCCUUUGCGCAAACUUUAGCAGGUUUCCUUCUAAUCAUAACGUAGUUGAAAAAAGAAGUUUGGGCUAACAUUUAGGAGAAGUUGGUCUUACUUUGUGCAAAAGCAGGCUUGUACUUUAUACCCCAUUUGAUUUCGAUGUACAGUCUCAAUUUUGUAUGUAAUGAUUUUUGUGUAUCCAGUAUGCACGUUAACAGCGUGUCAACUUUCAUUUGAAAGUGGGUUUCAAUUUACUUUUUAAACAGUGUUUAUGACGAGACCUCAAAUGUGUUGACAUAAGCUCUAUCUGCAAUGUUUUUGUGUAGAGUGGCGAUUGAAUGCUGCCGAGGGUCAGUGUAUCUAAUUCCCCAAGACCCUUGUUUGAUAGUGCUUCUUGUAAUAUUUCUUCAAGUGAGUGGCAUGUGGGUUGUGAUAUUGACCAUGUGAUUAUGGACAUCGAUAUGAAAAAUAAAUAAAUAAAACUAAGGAACCCUGGAAACUACCAGUGGGCAUGUAUUAGCCAGUCAUUGUAACCUCGUGUCUAGUAGAACAAUGUACAAGGUAUGUACAGUUCAUAAAUUUGUUAUCAUGUGUAUGAGAAGUACUUUGUGCUGAUCGCCUUAUUUAUAUUCAUCAAAUAAACCUCGUUUCUUUCUGAA